rnacentral:misc_RNA from 1 species
CUAAAAGAAAGAAUAAUCAUGCCCUAAAAUGCUGAGAAUUUUGUAUAUGCUAUGACAAGUUAUUUCAUUUUUGUCAACAAAUUUGAGAAGAUAUGAGUUUUGCAUUGCCCUAUUUUGAAAAAAAUUGUUCAAUUAGCAUUGUGGAAAUAAUGCAUCAGCUUUAUGCAAUUUUCUCCUGUAAUCAAACUAUAUAAAUGUAUACAUGAUUAAUAGGUCCAUGCCUUCUCUUUGAGCCUUAACAUCAAUAAAAUAAUCUCCAAAAGAAAGUUUAAAUUGAUGAGGCUAUAAUAUUUUAUACAUUAUUGAGAGGACCAACCAAGUGUGACCUUUUUUAGGGGACUAAUUUUUCCGUGAUGGCAGAGAAACAAAAACGCUGGCAAAGCUGGAACAAGAGAAACUGCAGCGAUGUAAACAAUAAAAAUGGGCUAAUAAUAUAUACAGAAAAAGGUAGAGAGAGUGCUAGCCAAACAGUAUUUCCAGUAGAAAGGCAACAGAGAAAAUGAGAUACUGUUACCUAACUACCAGGCAUUUUUCAUAACGGGCUUAAAGUCACUUGGCUCAUACGAAAGACCAGGGACCAUAUAACACCUUCAUCAUAAUGAACAAAAUAUGUGAAAUAAACAUCAAGAGUAUGACAUCAGCACCAAAGAACCAAUAGAAUCAAAUGAUCAAUGUUUUCAAAACCUUUUCAAGUGAAAAGUACAUCAGCCUAUUUUAAGGUAUAACUCCAGUUAAGCCUCUAAGAUU